CUACGGGUGGCACCAGUGAGGAAUAUUGCACAAUGGGGGAAACCCUGAUGCAGCAACGCCGCGUGGAGGAUGACGCAUUUCGGUGUGUAAACUCCUUUUAUCAGAGAAGAAAAUGACGGUAUCUGAUGAAUAAGCUCCGGCUAACUCCGUGCCAGCAGCCGCGGUAAUACGAAGGGAGCAAGCGUUAUUCGGAAUCACUGGGCGUAAAGGACGCGUAGGCGGGUUAUUAAGUCAGGUGUGAAAUCCAAUGGCUCAACCAUUGAACUGCACUUGAAACUGGUAACCUAGAGUAUGGAAGGGGCAGAUGGAAUUAGUGGUGUAGGGGUAAAAUCCGUAGAUAUCACUAGGAAUACCGAAAGCGAAGGCGAUCUGCUGGGACAUUACUGACGCUGAGGCGUGAAAGCGUGGGGAGCAAACAGGAUUAGAUACCCCAGUAGUC
rnacentral:rRNA from 1 species